AGGCCUGGAAGUAUUGAGUUUGGGGGAGAGUGUUUUUCACUUCAUGCAAACGAGAAUUCUCAGGACAAAGACUUUGCCUGGCUGUGUACUUCCCUUCAUCCCUGUAUGUAUGUUUCCUACCCUGAAGCCUUAAGAAAGCACUGAGAUCGUGACCUCUGGAAACAUAUUCUACUAGACUCAACUGCUGCCAAGUGUACAGGCUUCAAGUUGCUGGUGGCGCCAGGCAGAGCAGCUCAGGUGGGCUGUAGGGUGGGGCUUAAGGCGAAGUCCGCCCUCUCUCUCUCGACUUGCCCUAGCGCCUGCCAGGUGUUGAAGACUAAGCAGCAGGACGCCAGAGCCGCCGGGCCGCUUCUGGGCUAAGUGGCUAAGUUAGUGGAGAUCACUGGUUUAAGAUCACGCAGCUUAGAAAGUUCAUGGCAAGUGUUGUGUCUCCUGGGGACAAGCCACUGCUGAACUACUUUUAAGACUGAAUGGAAGCGAGCAGCCUUCUGUGCUUAGGAGCCCGGGGCCCAGGAGGGGCUUCUGCAGGCUGGCCUUGGGGGUUGCAGGAACCUGAAGCCUCCAUUCUCAUGACCUGGAAGCCUGCACACUUUCUGCAUUCCUGGAAGGGAGUCCUGCUCACAUGCUUGCCAACGGUUGGGACCAGGACCAGGAAGAGGAAAGGUACCAACAUAAAAACAACUGUUUCUAAGAGAGAAACCAGACCGUGUGAACCUGUGGAUUCCGGUUUAGGCUGCACCGCUUUGUCUGGCUCUGUGAGGUCGGCAGUGAGGGUUCAGUGGAGCUACAGCAACCCCGAUUUAAAGCAAGCUUCAGGGGUGUCACGACUUUGGCAGACUUGUCCUUGGUUUCUACUGUAGUCCUGCUUCGAGGUUGAGGCUUGUGGCUCAAGAUGGAGCUGCAUUCUUGGUAAUGGUAUAGGAGUUUUCUGUGCCUCUGACCACAUUUUGUUGCUCAUGCUCAGUAGAAAUUAGUGUGCUUUCUACAGUGUUUGGAAGGUAAUAAAAAUGUUAUAACAUGAACCUGAACUUGUGCUGAUAACUGCUAGAGAUAUUUUGCUAGAUCUAGGCACUGGUCUAGUGUUUUUCUUAUGAUCUUGGCUAUAUUCUAUUUAAAUAUACAUUGAGGUCUUUGAUGUAACCAGAGCUGUUUUUGAAGAAAUAACUUUUCAAAUUACUGUGUUCCUUUAAGUGAGUGAGCUACACUUAACACGGUGGAGGAGGUGGGAAGCCGACCACUUUGGUAAUGCCAAACCCAUUGUCUCACAAGUCACCUAAAAUGGAUAAGUCAUCUGCAUAAAGAAUUUGCUCAGGUGGUAACUAGAUUACAGAGUGCUCUUUUUAUCGUGAUGCCUGGAUCACAGGGCUUCAGAUGGUGAGAGCUAAUUAAUCUUCUAUUCUUAUAUACCAUGGGCAUGAGCCUUGUGAUGGAGGUUUUUUUACACUGUGUUGGAGAGGAAACCCAAGGCCGCAGGCAAGCUAAAUAUUUGUUAGUACUUUUUGCCCUUUGAACUUGAAAGUAUUGCUUUAGU
rnacentral:lncRNA from 1 species